GGGGUUGUGGCUCAGCGGUAGAGUGCUUGUCUUGCAAGCAUGAGGCCCUGGGUUCGAUUCUCUGCACCGCA
rnacentral:tRNA from 1 species